rnacentral:rRNA from 1 species
GACGAACGCUGGCGGCGUGCUUAACACAUGCAAGUCGAACGGAAGGGCCCUGCUUUUGUGGGGUGCUCGAGUGGCGAACGGGUGAGUAACACGUGAGUAACCUGCCCUUGACUUUGGGAUAACUUCAGGAAACUGGGGCUAAUACCGGAUAGGAGCUCCUGCUGCAUGGUGGGGGUUGGAAAGUUUCGGCGGUUGGGGAUGGACUCGCGGCUUAUCAGCUUGUUGGUGGGGUAGUGGCUUACCAAGGCUUUGACGGGUAGGCGGCCUGGGAGGGUGACCGGCCACAUUGGGACUGAGGGACGGACCAGUCGCGUACGGGAGGCAGCAGUGGGGAAUAUGGCACAAUGGGCGCAAGCGUGAUGCAGAGACGCCGCGUGCGGGAUGACGGCCUGCGGGGUGUAAACCGCUUUAGCUUGAGACGAAGCGGGAGUGACGGUAAUGGGUGAAGAAGCACCGGCUAACUACGUG